rnacentral:rRNA from 1 species
CUUAUCUACACACGUGUUUUUGUUUUAUUCUUAAAACUUGCUUUGGCAGUGGCUGCUUAAUUGCUCUGCUGCCAGAGGAUAAACUCAACCUAAAUUUUUUAUUUUAAACUAGUCAACUGAUUAUAUUUAUUAAUAGUCAAAACUUUCAACAACGGAUCUCUUGGUUCUCGCAUCGAUGAAGAACGCAGCGAAAUGCGAUAAGUAAUAUGAAUUGCAGAUAUUCGUGAAUCAUCGAAUCUUUGAACGCACAUUGCGCCCUCUGGUAUUCCGGAGGGCAUGCCUGUUUGAGCGUCAUUUCUCCCUCAAACCCCCGGGUUUGGUGAUGAGCAAUACGCCAGGUUUGCUUGAAAGUUAGGAGGAGUAUUUAUAACAAUGUAUUAGGUCUAACCACUCCAUUGUGCUUAAUAAAAAGCUCCAAUCUAUAUUUCAAACUUCGACCUCAAAUCAGGUAGGAUUACCCGCUGAACUUAAGCAUAUCAAG